rnacentral:rRNA from 1 species
CAGCCGCCGCGGGAAUACGAAGGGGGCUAGCGUUGCUCGGAAUUACUGGGCGUAAAGGGAGCGUAGGCGGAUCGUUUAGUCAGGGGUGAAAUCCCGGGGCUCAACCUCGGAACUGCCUUUGAUACUGGCGAUCUUGAGUAUGGGAGAGGUGUGUGGAACUCCGAGUGUAGAGGUGAAAUUCGUAGAUAUUCGGAAGAACACCAGUGGCGAAGGCGACACACUGGCCCAUUACUGACGCUGAGGCUCGAAAGCGUGGGGAGCAAACAGGAUUAGAUACCCCCGUAGUCCCUGUCUCUUAUAC